rnacentral:rRNA from 1 species
AUUUAUGGAGAGUUUGAUCCUGGCUCAGAGUGAACGCUGGCGGCGUGCCUAACACAUGCAAGUCGAGCGAGAACGGCCCCU